GUUCCUUCAGCAAUAUCCAAAUGGGAAAAAUAAUUAGGUUGUAAUAUCGACAAGGAUAGUUGGUACAAAGCUCUUCACUAUGUCACCAAAAAUAUACAUUGUUUAAAUUACGUAGAAACAUUCUAUAAAGUAACCAAUAGGUGGUACUAUGUCCCAGAUAGGUUGCAUAACAUCUAUCCAACUUAUUCUAAGAUUUGUUGGAGAUGUAACCUAGAGGUGGGUAAGUAUGAACAUUUCUGGUGGAAAUGUCAGGAUAUAAAAAGAAUGUGGAAUUGGAUAUUAGAAGAUAUUGGAAUUAAACUUUUUAAAUCUCCAACUGUAGCUUUGCUAUAUCUUGACUGCCCCACUCAGGAACAACUAGACCAAUGCCUAAUGAUCCAUUGUUUUAUUGCAAUUAAAGUAUCG